AUGGCAGGAGUUGUUGAAACUAUUGACCAUACUGUAAAUGCAGCGGCAGCAGAAGUGAUGGCUAUAUGUGGUGGACUACAGCUUGUUCACCAGAUUGGAUGCUCGCGAGUGGCCGUGGAAUCGGACUGCUUAGAGGUAAUCAACGCAUGUAAUGAUGAUUCAGAUAUCCUAGCUCCCUAUUCAGCUAUACUGGCAGAUUGCUUCCAAUUGGCGCACGAUAUUCCUUCAAUUAGUUUUGAACACUGCCCACGGGAAGCCAACUAUUUGGCACAUUUCCUAGCUAGACAUGUGUAUGAUUCAAACCAGUUUUCUUCUCCAGCAUGUUUAUGA
rnacentral:rRNA from 1 species